rnacentral:tRNA from 1 species
GGCACUUUGGCUGAGAGGUUAAGGCGGCAGACUUGAAAUCUGCUCCUCAUGGGGUGUAGACUUGAAAUCUUCUAUCCUGUGAGGGCGUAGGUUCAAAUCCUACAGGUGCUA